GAAACUGCGAAUGGCUCAUUAAAUCAGUUAUGGUUUCUUUGAUGGUACCUUGCUACUUGGAUACCCGUAGUAAUUCUAGAGCUAAUACAUGCAGGAAUGCCCGACUUCGGAAGGGCUGUAUUUAUUAGAUAAGAAACCUUCUCGGGUUCGCCCGGUUGUGUGCUGAGUCAUAAUAACUGCUCGAAUCGCACGGCUCUACGCCGGCGAUGGUUCAUUCAAAUUUCUGCCCUAUCAGCUUUCGAUGGUAGGAUAGAGGCCUACCAUGGCGUUAACGGGUAACGGAGAAUUAGGGUUCGAUUCCGGAGAGGGAGCCUGAGAAAUGGCUACCACAUCCAAGGAAGGCAGCAGGCGCGUAAAUUGCCCGAAUCCUGACACAGGGAGGUAGUGACAAGAAAUAACAAUACAGGGCUACUUCUAGUCUUGUAAUUGGAAUGAGUACAACUUACAUCUCUUCACGAGGAUCAAUUGGAGGGCAAGUCUGGUGCCAGCAGCCGCGGUAAUUCCAGCUCCAAAAGCGUAUAUUAAAGUUGUUGCAGUUAAAACGCUCGUAGUCGGGUUUCGGGUCGGGCCGAGCGGUUUGCCGAUGGGUAUGCACUGUUUGGCGCGGCCUUCUUUCCGGAGACCGCGGCUACUCUUAACUGAGCGGGCGUGGGAGACGGAUCGUUUACUUUGAAAAAAUCAGAGUGUUUCAAGCAGGCAGCUCGCUCUUGCAUGGUACAGCAUGGGAUGAUUGAAUAGGACUCCGGUGCUAUUUUGUUGGUUUCGAACACCAGGAGUAAUGAUUAACAGGGACAGUCAGGGGCACUCGUAUUCCGUCGAGAGAGGUGAAAUUCUCAGACCAAUGGAAGACGAACCACUGCGAAAGCAUUUGCCAGGGAUGUUUUCACUGAUCAAGAACGAAAGUUAGGGGAUCGAAGACGAUCAGAUACCGUCGUA
rnacentral:rRNA from 1 species